rnacentral:lncRNA from 1 species
UAUUAUUUUUUCUGUCGCAGAUCAAUCAACCUACUCACUUGGAGAAUACUAUUAAUGGUUAACUGUCGGGGAUCAACAAACUUCAAGGAAGGGAAGUCAACAGGACUACUAUUUAACUUGGGAUCAUUAGAAGCCAAUCAAGGAUGCAGAAUCAAUCGGGUGCAGCUACAACUCUAAUCGAUAAUUAUACUUAGAAUGAUUAAUUAAUUAUUCGAAAAGAAGAAGAUGAAGAAACAAGAAGAAAAAGAAGAAAAAAAAAGAAGAAGAAGAAGAAGAAUACUCUAGAAUUCAAAGAAGAUAAUAGAAAUGAUCUAGAUGAUAAUCAAGAAUAUUAACAGAGACUAUUCCAGAUCAAGUGAAUUAUUUAAUAUUUCGAAUAAUAAUUUAUCUGAAAGUAUUAUGGGGACAUUUAUUUAACGGGAAAGCUAUGAAUUUAAUCAUGCUCAAUGACCGAUCUCUUUUGUCGUUGUUGUUAUUAUUGUUGUUGUUGUUAUCGUCAUCGUUAAUGUUACAUUAGACUGAAAAUAAUUUUCAUUUUCAAGAAAAAAAAUACCGAAAAUUAAUAAUCGUGAAAACAACAUGUAUUGACAAUGGUGUGGAUGCUUGAAAAUAAUCAAAGACAAUAAUCUGUUAGAAAAAAAAUCACAGAGGCAUCGCGAUAAUACAAUUUUUAAUUGAAUAAUCAUAUCUAGUCGAUACGCAAAUCGAAGUUAACUGAUACGAAUUGAUGAAAAAAAAUUACAUCGAAAAAUAAAGGAAUAAAUAUCUGAAGAAUCGUUGACCAUACGAAAAGAAAAAAUAUAUGGUUCACUAAUAAAAAUAAAAUAAAACCAAAUUCCAAAGUAAUAUCAAAAGAGAAUCAAAGAAACUAACAUAGCAAAAAUAAAAAAAAAUAAAAUGGAAGCUAAUAGAUCCAACUUUGCAGUUUCUAACAUUAAUAACGCGAAUAUCGAAUAUCAAAUAUAAUUCAAAUAAAUAAAAAUAAUUGAAGAUAAUCGAUGAUAAUCCAGGAAGAAAGACGAAAUUCAAAAAAUCAAUUGUACCUUAUGAAGAAAAAAAUCAAAAGAAAAAGAAAUAAUCGUAUAACAAACUAUAUUGAUGAAAAAAUAUCCAUCGAAAUAUCUAUCGAAAAAACAUUUAUCGAUACAUCAUCUAAUCAAAAUAUCUUACGAACAAAAAUGAUACAAAAGAUAGAAAAGAAAAAUAUUUAUCGAAAUAUCUAUAAAAACAAAUGAAAGAAAAUAAAACACCCCAAAGAAGAUAAACGCAAAUAUCUAAUAAAAUUUCAACGUAGAAAUAUAUAAGAAAUGAUAGUUGAAAAAAAAAACUGAACAAAAAUCAACGCUGCAUUCGUAGAGAAGAAAAGUAACACAAAAGCAACAAAAAGAAAAAAAUCCCCAAAAAAAAUACAGAAAAAGAAACGGGACUCUUUUCAGACCCUAAUUCUUCGUUACAUUUAUUAAAUGAUCUUUAAUGAUCAGGAAAAAAGAACUAAAAUAAAUCGUAAUCAUACGUGCGAACAAAAAAAAAUAUCAGAUAUUUUCGUAGAGGAAGGUACAUCUCGUACCUUGAAAACAGUCAAAGAAGAAGUUCGAUGAAACCACUUUGAAGCAUCACUUCGUGACACAUCGUUAGUAAUAACAAUUCAAAUAUUUCACAGCAGUUGCUCGGAAAAAAGGAAAAACAAAGAAAACACGAGAAAUAAAAUUGAUCGUUUGAUGAUCCAAGUCGAAGUCGAUAAAAACGAUGAUCUUAACUCAGGUGAUCUAAAACUUGAGAUAAAACCAUUUGAAGAAGCAGAAUUACUCUCACUCAUGCAAUAGAAUUUCGUUAAAUUUCUACACCUAUUAUUAUUUACAGAAAUAUUAACAAGGAUUCUUCACACACACAUACAUUUUCUUUAUAGAAGAAAAAAGCAAAAAAAAAAAAAGAAGGAAAGAAGAAGAAGAAGAAGAAAACGAACAAACCAAAAUGACAAAACUCAAAAGAGAAACAAAUCGACAAUUUUUUCUUCGUCUUCUAAUGAAAUAUAAUAUAUCAGGAAACGUUCACAUAUAUAUAUGUUUCUGAUCACGAGCCUCACAUAUUUAAUCGUCGUGUUUGAAUCGCGCUACAUUCAACGAAAGUAAAAAAAAGAAAAAAAAAAA